CCCGGCGACCGGCGCACGGGUGAGUAACACGUAUGCAACCUGGCCGCCACAGGGGGAUAACCCGCGGAAACGCGGCCUAAUACCCCGUGACGCCACCGGAGGGCAUCCUCCGGUGGCCAAAGGAGCGAUCCGGUGGCGGAUGGGCAUGCGGCGCAUUAGCUAGACGGCGGGGUGACGGCCCACCGUGGCGACGAUGCGUGGGGGUUCUGAGAGGAAGGCCCCCCACACUGGGACUGAGACACGGCCCAGACUCCUACGGAAGGCAGCAG
rnacentral:rRNA from 1 species